GUGCUCACUUUGGCAGCACAUAUACUAAAAUUGGAACAAUACAGAGAAGAUUAGCAUGGCCUCUGUGCAAGGAUGACACGCAAAUUCGUGAAGCAUUCCAUAUUUUU
ensembl:snRNA U6 U6 spliceosomal RNA